GCCGGGCAUGGUGGCAGGCGCCUGUAAUUCCAGCUACUUGGGAGGCUGAGGCAGAGAAUUGCUUGAACCCAGGAGGCGGAGGUUGCAGUGAGCCAAGAUUGCGCCACUGCACUCCAGCCUGGGUGACAGAGCCAGACUCCGUCUCAAAAAAAAAAAAAAGAAAGAAAAACAGGGUCUUGUUCUGUUGCUCAGGCUGGAGUGGAGUGGUGUGAUCACAGCUCACUGCAGCCUCAACCUCCUGGGUCCUGGGCUCAAGCAAUCCUCCUGCC
rnacentral:lncRNA from 1 species